UUAAGGAAAUAAGGCGCAUGGUGGAUGCCUUGGCAUCAGAAGACGAUGAAGGACGCGACGAACGGCGAUACGCCUCGGGGAGCAGUAAGUACGCAGAGAUCCGGGGAUUUCCGAAUGGGGCAACCCGUCAUUUUAUGACAUCCAUUUAUGGAGGACAACGCAGUGAACUGAAACAUCUUAGUAACUGCAGGAAAAGAAAGUAAUAACGAUUCCGCUAGUAGUGGCGAACGAACGCGGAGGAGCCCUUAUCCCACCCAAGAGUUACAAAUCCUUUGGAUAGGUGAACAGUUUUGGAAAAGCUGAUCAUAGAAGGUGAUAAUCCUGUAAUCGAAAUCUAAAGGACUCGGGAUAUGAGUACGGCGAGACACGUGGAAUCUUGUCGGAAUUUUGAGGACCAUCUCAUAAGGCUAAAUACUCUCUGAUGACCGAUAGUGAACCAGUACUGUGAAGGAAAGGUGAAAAGAACCCCGGGAGGGGAGUGAAAUAGAACUUGAAACCGUGUGCUUACAACAAGUCAGAGCCCGUUAAUGGGUGAUGGCGUGCCUUUUGUAGAAUGAACCGGCGAGUUAUACUAACGUGCGAGGUUAAGCUUGAAGGAGCGGAGCCGUAGCGAAAGCGAGUCUGAAUAGGGCGAUUUAGUACGUUGGCAUAGACCCGAAACCGAGUGAGCUAGGCAUGAUCAGGAUGAAGUUGGGGUAAGACCCAAUGGAGGUCCGAACCGUAGUCCGUUUAAAAGAGCCCGGAUGAAUUGUGUCUAGAGGAGAAAUUCCAAUCGAACUCGGAGAUAGCUGGUUCUCACCGAAAUAGCUUUAGGGCUAGCGUUGAAGUUUAGUGUUUUGGUGGUAGAGCACUGAAAGGCUGCGGGUCGCAUCUAGCGAUACCAAUUCCUAUCAAACUCCGAAUGCCAUUACAUAUAUUCAGCAGUCAGACUACGGGUGAUAAGGUUCGUGGUCGAAAGGGAAACAGCCCAGACCGCCAGUUAAGGUCCCCAAAUCCAUGCUAAGUGGGAAAGGAAGUGGAGAUGUCUAAACAACCAGGAGGUUGGCUCAGAAGCAGCCAUCCUUUAAAGAAUGCGUAAUAGCUCACUGGUCGAAUGACUCUGCGCCGAAAAUGUAUCGGGGCUAAAGCACGGUACCGAAACUGCGGAAUUCAACUUUAUGUUGAUUGGUAGGUGAGCGUUCCUAUCUGCGUAGAAGCAUGACCGGGAGGACAUGUGGAGCGUUAGGAAGUGAGAAUGCCGGUAUGAGUAACGAUAAGUAAGGUGAGAAUCCUUACCGUCAAAAGUCUAAGGUUUCCAGGGCAAUGUUCGUCAGCCCUGGGUUAGUCGGGUCCUAAGGCGAGGCCGAAAGGCGUAGUCGAUGGAAAAUAGGUUGAUAUUCCUAUACCUAUUAAGUGAAUGAUGGAGUGACGGAGAAAGAUAGUGCGUGCCAGUUAUUGGAUUCUGGUUUGGGGGCACAAGGAUGUUGGGCAGGUAAAUCCACCCAGCUUGUAUCUGAGGCCCUUGAUGUAAAACGCAUGAAUCUACGCUUCCAAGAAAAGCUUCUAGUGCUAAUCACUUAAAGCCCGUACCGCAAACCGACACAGGUGGACGAGAUGAAAAUUUAAAGACGCGCGAGAUAACUAUUGUUAAGGAACUCGGCAAAAUUACCCCGUAACUUCGGGAGAAGGGGGGCUCUCUGAGCCGCAGAAAAGAGGCCCAUGGAACUGUUUACCAAAAACACAGCUCUCUGCUAAAUCGUAAGAUGAUGUAUAGGGGGUGACGCCUGCCCAGUGCUGGAAGGUCAAGAGGAGUUGUCAGGAAACGAAGCAACGAAUUUAAGCCCCAGUGAACGGCGGCCGUAACUAUAACGGUCCUAAGGUAGCGAAAUUCCUUGUCGGGUAAAUUCCGACCUGCACGAAAGGCGUAAUCAUAUGGGCGCUGUCUCAACAAUAGACUCGGUGAAAUUUUAGUACCUGUGAAGAUGCAGGUUAAUUGCGACUAGACGGAAAGACCCCAUGGAGCUUUACUGUAGCUUGAUAUUGAUAUAUGGUACUUGAUGUACAGGAUAGGUGGGAGACUAUGAAACCGGGACGUCAGUUUCGGCGGAGUCGUCCUUGGGAUACCACUCUUUGAAUAUUGUGUAUCUAACCCGCAGGUUUGUACCCUGGAGGACAGUGUCAGGUGGGCAGUUUGACUGGGGCGGUCGCCUCCCAAAAUGUAACGGAGGCGCGCAAAGGUUUGUUCAGAAUGGUUGGAAAUCAUUCAUUGAGUGCAAUGGCAUAAACAAGCUUGACUGAGAGACUUACAAGUCAAUCAGGGUCGAAAGACGGUCAUAGUGAACUUCCGAUUUCGAAUGGAAGAGUCGGAAAUCAACGGAUAAAAGUUACCCUGGGGAUAACAGGCUGAUUACACCCAAUAGUUCAUAUAGACGGUGUUGUUUGGCACCUCGAUGUCGGCUCGGCGCAUCCUGGAGGUGGAUAAGCUUCCAAGGGUUGGGCUGUUCGCCCAUUAAAGCGUUACGCGAGCUGGGUUCAAAACGUCGUGAGACAGUUUGGUCCCUAUCUGUCGCAAUCGUUGGAAAUUUGAGAGGAGCUGUCCCUAGUACGAGAGGACCGGGAUGGACGCUCCAAUGGUGUACCGGUUAGAUCGCCAGGUCUACUGCCGGGUAGCUAAGAGCGGAAGGGAUAAACGCUGAAAGCAUCUAAGUGUGAAGCCCCCCUCAAGAUGAGAUUUCCCUCCUUUAUGGAAUAAGGUCCCACGAAGAACACGUGGUUGAUAGGUCAGGUGUGUAAGCGUAGCGAUGCGUUAAGCUGACUGAUACUAAUAGACCGAAGACUUAACUUU
rnacentral:rRNA from 1 species